GAUGAAGAACGCAGCGAAAUGCGAUACUUGGUGUGAAUUGCAGAAUCCCGUGAACCAUCGAGUCUUUGAACGCAAGUUGCGCCCGAAGCCUCGGCUAAGGGCACGUCUGCCUGCGCGUCACGCAUCGCGUCUCCCCCAAACCGCCAAGGCGGAGGGGAAGGAAGAUGGCUUCCCGUGCCUCACCCGGGCGCGGUUGGCCUAAAUUUGGAGCCCGCGGCACUUAGCUCUCGCGGCGAUAGGUGGUGAACAAGGCCUUGGCCGUGCAAACAACCCGCUGCGAAGCUCUAUGUCACGUGCGCUCGUCGGACCCUUUGAAGUUGCCUUUGGUGACUUAAAACCUUUGCGACCCCAGGUCAGGCGGGGCUACCCGCUGAAUUUAAGCAUAUCAAUAAGCGGAGGA
rnacentral:misc_RNA from 1 species